GAUGAACGCUGGCGGCGUGCCUAAUACAUGCAAGUCGAGCGAACAGAUAAGGAGCUUGCUCCUUUGACGUUAGCGGCGGACGGGUGAGUAACACGUGGGUAACCUACCUAUAAGACUGGAAUAACUCCGGGAAACCGGGGCUAAUGCCGGAUAACAUUUAGAACCGCAUGGUUCUAAAGUGAAAGAUGGUUUUGCUAUCACUUAUAGAUGGACCCGCGCCGUAUUAGCUAGUUGGUAAGGUAACGGCUUACCAAGGCAACGAUACGUAGCCGACCUGAGAGGGUGAUCGGCCACACUGGAACUGAGACACGGUCCAGACUCCUACGGGAGGCAGCAGUAGGGAAUCUUCCGCAAUGGGCGAAAGCCUGACGGAGCAACGCCGCGUGAGUGAUGAAGGUCUUCGGAUCGUAAAACUCUGUUAUUAGGGAAGAACAAAUGUGUAAGUAACUGUGCACGUCUUGACGGUACCUAAUCAGAAAACCACGGCUAACUACGU
rnacentral:rRNA from 1 species